rnacentral:rRNA from 1 species
GUGAGGAAUUUUCCGCAAUGGGCGAAAGCCUGACGGAGCAAUGCCGCGUGAAGGAUGAAGGCCUAUGGGUUGUAAACUUCUUUUCUCAGAAAAGAAUUAUGACGGUAUCUGAGGAAUAAGCAUCGGCUAACUCUGUGCCAGCAGCCGCGGUAAGACAGAGGAUGCAAGCGUUAUCCGGAAUGAUUGGGCGUAAAGCGUCUGUAGGUUGUUUAAAAAGUAUUCUGUCAAAGAUUAGGGCUUAACCCUAGAUAGGCAGAAUAAACUUUUAAGCUAGAGUUUGGUAGAGGCAGAGGGAAUUCCUGGUGGAGCGGUGAAAUGCGUAGAUAUCGGGAGGAACACCAAAGGCGAAGGCACUCUGCUGGGCCAAUACUAACACUGAGAGACGAAAGCGAGGGGAGCAAAUGGGAUUAGAAACCCCUGUAGUCC